rnacentral:rRNA from 1 species
CCUACGGGAGGCAGCAGUAGGGAAUUUUCGGCAAUGGGGGGAACCCUGACCGAGCAACGCCGCGUGAACGAAGAAGUUAUUCGUCAUGUAAAGUUCUUUUUACAGGGAAGAAAGAGAAAUUUGACGGUACCUGAAGAAUAAGCUCCGGCUACCUACGCGCCAGCAGCCGCGGUAAUACGGAGGGAGCGAACGUUAUCCGGAAUGAUUGGGCGUAAAGGGUGCGUAGAUGGCAUAGUAAGUCUUUUGGAAAAAUGCGGGGCUCAACCCAGUAGGGCAAAAGAUACUGCAAAGCUAGAGUAUGACAGAGGCAAGUGGAACUACAGGUGUAGCGGUAAAAUGCGUAAAUAUAAGUAAGAACACCAGUGGCGAAGGCGGCUUGCUGGGUCGAUACUGACAUUGAGGCACGAAAGCGUGGGGAGCGAACAGGAUUAGAUACCCCAGUAGUC